UACGUAGGGGGCUAGCGUUGUCCGGAAUCAUUGGGCGUAAAGAGCGUGUAGGCGGCCCGGUAAGUCCGCUGUGAAAGUCGGGGGCUCAACCCUCGAAUGCCGGUGGAUACUGUCGAGCUCGAGUCCGGAAGAGGCGAGUGGAAUUCCUGGUGUAGCGGUGAAAUGCGCAGAUAUCAGGAGGAACACCGGUGGCGAAGGCGGGUCUCUGGGCCGUAACUGACGCUGAGGAGCGAAAGCAUGGGGAGCGAACAGGA
rnacentral:rRNA from 1 species